CCUACGGGAGGCAGCAGUGAGGAAUAUUGGUCAAUGGGCGCAAGCCUGAACCAGCCAAGUCGCGUGAGGGAUGACGGUCCUCUGGAUUGUAAACCUCUUUUGUCGGGGAGCAAGGCCCGCCACGUGUGGCGGGAAGGAGAGUACCCGAAGAAAAAGCACCGGCAAACUCCGUGCCAGCAGCCGCGGUAAUACGAGGGUGGCGAGCGUUAUCCGGAUUGAUUGGGUUUAAGGGGUGGGUAGGCGGAAGGUUAAGUCAGCGGUAAAAUGUCGGUGCUCAACACCGGCCUGCCGUUGAAACUGGUCUUCUUGAGUGAGCGAGAAGUAUGCGGAAUGCGUGGUGUAGCGGUGAAAUGCAUAGAUAUCACGCAGAACUCCGAUGGCGAAGGCAGCAUACCGGCGCUCAACUGACGCUGAGGCACGAAAGCGUGGGGAUCGAACAGGAUUAGAUACCCUAGUAGUC
rnacentral:rRNA from 1 species